rnacentral:rRNA from 1 species
UACGUAGGGGGCAAGCGUUGUCCGGAAUUAUUGGGCGUAAAGAGCGCGUAGGCGGUCCGAUAAGUCGGCUGUGAAAGUCAGGGGCUCAACCCUUGAAAGCCGGCCGAUACUGUCGGACUAGAGUCCGGAAGAGGCGAGUGGAAUUCCCGGUGUAGCGGUGAAAUGCGCAGAUAUCAGGAGGAACACCGGUGGCGAAGGCGGUGGUCUGGGCCAGUACUGACGCUGAGGAGCGAAAGCGUGGGUAGCAAACAGG